rnacentral:rRNA from 1 species
GCAUUACAGCUAGCCUAACCAUACAUAAACCAAACAAUUAUUAAAAUAUAUACUCAAAUAAUAAAAACAAAACAUUUGUUAACUCCAGUAUAGGUGAUAGAAAGAGAACAACAGAGCUAUAGCAAUAGUACCGCAAGGGAAAGCUGAAAAAGAAAUGAAAUAAAUCGUCAAAGCACAACAUAGCAGAGAUUAAAUCUCGUACCUUUUGCAUCAUGAUCUAGUAAGUAAGCCCAAGCAAAAUGAUUUAUAGUUUGACCCCCCGAAACUAGACGAGCUACUUCGAAGCAGUUGAAAGGACCAACCCGUCUCUGUGGCAAAAGAGUGGGAAGACUUCCAAGUAGAGGUGACAAGCCUAACGAGCCUAGUGAUAGCUGGUUACUUGAGAAAUGAAUAAAAGUUCAGCCUCAAAUAUUCUAAAAAAUAAACAAGUUCUUACUAAAAAAUUUCAAGGAUAUUUGAGAGUUAUUCACAGGAGGUACAGCUCCUAUGAACUGGGAAACAACCCAAUAAGGAGGAAAAAGAUCAUAAUUUUAAAGGAUAAGAUCCAAGUGGGCCUGAAAGCAGCCACCUUUUAAGAAAGCGUUAAAGCUUAAAUAUUACAAAACCCAAAUACCCAAAUAUCCAGAUAUAACCUCUAAAUCCCCUAUAAAUAUCAAGUUAUUCUAUCCCAAUAGAAGAAAUUAUGCUAGAAUUAGUAAUAAGAAAAAUGAUUUUCUCCUAGCACAAGUGUAAGUUAGAACGGACAAACCACUAACAUUUAAACGAACCCUCCAGAGGAUCAAAUAGCGUAUAUAAUAAAAACAAGAAAAUCCUAUUAACCUUAUCGUUAAUCUUACACAAGAGUGCCCAAAGGAAAGACUAAAAGAGAAAAAAGGAACUCGGCAAACUCGAACCCCGCCUGUUUACCAAAAACAUCGCCUUCAGCUUUUCAUGUAUUGAAGGUCCUGCCUGCCCAGUGACACAAGUUUAACGGCCGCGGUAACCUGACCGUGCAAAGGUAGCAUAAUCACUUGUCCUUUAAAUGGGGACUGGUAUGAAUGGCCCCACGAGGGUUCAACUGUCUCUUUUCUCCAGUCAAUUAAAUUGAUCUACCCGUGCAGAAGCGGGCAUAAAACCAUAAGACGAGAAGACCCUGUGGAGCUUUAGACUAAAUCCAAACGACUCCCCACUAUACCCUACCAUAUAAAUAAACUUAGCGUUAUGGCCAUACAGUCUUAGGUUGGGGCGACCACUGAGAACAAAAUAUCCUCAGCGACGAUUGAAGCACAGCUUUAUAAGCUAAGAAUGACAAUUCAAAGCAUCAGGACAUCUGACAUUAAGAUCCAGACUAAUCUGAUCAACGAACCAAGUUACCCCAGGGAUAACAGCGCAAUCUUUUCCAAGAGCCCAAAUCGACGAAAAGGUUUACGACCUCGAUGUUGGAUCAGGACAUCCUAAUGGUGCAGCCGCUAUUAAGGGUUCGUUUGUUCAACGAUUAAAGUCCUACGUGAUCUGAGUUCAGACCGGAGUAAUCCAGGUCAGUUUCUAUCUAUGAAGUUAUUUAUCCUAGUACGAAAGGAUUGGAUAAAUGAGGCCUAUAUUAAAAACAUGCCUCCCCUUAACCUACUGAAACCAAAUCAAGUAGAUAAUAAUGAACAAAAUUUUCACCCAAGAUCAGGGUCA